AAUACUUUUGUACAAAUUGCUUUUUUUUUCCUAAUGGACAAAUGGCAUGCAGUUCCAAAGUCUAUUAUUUUUAUGAGACUAAGAGUUACCCAUGAAAUGUGUUUCUAAAUUUGGAGUUCUUAAACUAAAGUCAGACCCAUAUAAGAAUUUACUGAGGAUUCUGCCAGACAGUAUCGCUUUUCUCCUACUUCUGUGCAAAUAAGCAUUUGGAAUUUUCAAGGAUAAUGCUUAGUCAUUAACACAUCGUCAAUGCUGCCUUGAGUUGUUGUGAUUUGGGCUUGCUGCUAUUAUUCCAUUUUAAUUAGAAAUCUUUAUUAGUUUGACUUCAUCAUUAUCACUUUAAUUUCUUGUGAGCUAUUUGGUCGGCUAUAUAAUGAGAUGCCUAUUAGCAUCCAUUGCAAUUUUGGCCCAUAAUUUUCCAGUGCCCAGAUUUAGGACAAUGUGUUACAGUACAAAUUUGAACCCUUCAGACUCCUAUUGCUAAGAUUUGUGAGGUGUUAUUACAGAUAAUUAUAUAAUGAUAAAUAUACACAUAUUAUUUUGUGAUUAUAGAAAUAAUUCCCUCAGAAUGUCUUUGAAUGGUGAAAUUUUAUGGUUAUUGAAAGUGUUUCUUCAACUGGGAAGGCAAACACGGUGACUUGGGAUCAUAGUCAGUGUCUCAAAUAACUAAUGUCAAAAAUAUUUAAGUGGCAAUGAUUUGUUGCUGAUAAUUCCCAAAUCAGAAUCUCUUCCAAUUCCCCCUCAUCUCUACUUCCAUACAUUCAACCAAAUAAAUUCAUUAUUUCCAACAUGGAAACCAUCUUCCCUCUCCCACACCGAAGUUGCAUCUUGUAGCUGCUCAUGUCUCAGGAAAUGAUAUCACUGUUCACGCACUUCUCCGUCUGCAAACCUGGCUCCUCCCUCUGCCCCUGUCCAGUCCCUAAGUUCUGUUGAUUCUGUCUCCAAGACACUUUAGAAUCCCUCCUCUUCUUUCCAUUUCUUCUGCUACCAUCCUAAGGCUCUGCCAUCUUUCAUCUGGAUUUUUCACUGCUUUAUGCCCAGUCUCCACAGUUAUUUCUAGCACAUGGUAGGUGCUUGCCCAGAAUCAUGCCUAGCACACAAUAGGUACUUAUGUGAUAUCUUUUGCUUGUCUGUUUGGAUCCACUCUCCUCCCUUCUCCCACUGUUCUGGGCCCAGGAAGCUGACGUGAUGGACCAUCUCAAUAGGAUGCCUUGCCUCUGGCUCUUUCAGCAGUGCUAUUCAACUACAAUAAGAUGCAAGCCACUGGUACUGGGUAACAGGAUAAUUGAAGAUUCAUGCAAGACUAAUGGAUUCUUUGUGAGAAGGAUGGAGCAUGAAGGGAACCUGAUAUCCCUGCACGGUGACAACAGCAGCCGUUAUUUAUCAGAAAUGUAAAUGGAUUUACUCGGCCCGUGGCAUCACCCCUGCUGUAAUGCCAAGUACACACUUGGCACCACUUACGUCUUUCCUCCCGACCUCCCUCCACUUUGCUUUACCAGCACUUGUUGGCCCUUCUUGCAUCAGACUGUCGAUUUGCAUGACAUUACAUAACUCUGGGUGUGUGUCCUCACUGCAGGUUUAGGCCAGCGUGGAUGGGGCAUUGAAGCUACAAGAAAGACACAUGGGCCCAUCUAGCCCCAAGUCAAGACCAGAACAAGAGGGGGGACUUGAAAAGAUAUCCCUCCCCUUGGCCCAACCCAGCCUGGACGCAGGUGGGAUUGAAGACUGGUUUGGAGAAACGUGCUCAUGUUCUGUGGCUGCAGGUGGAACAAACCGAUGAUCCUAAAGAAAUCAAAGCUGAUGAAGUUCUUCUUAGAGUUCAGGGGAACACAUCCUCAGAGCCUUGGGUUCUGAGGCCAGUCUUGGGGGUGCACUGGUGGGGAGACAAAAGCGGGCCAUGAACCCAGGGAUGAGGGGGCUGGGAGAUGACCCUCUUCAGCGGUUGUGUGUGAUUCUGCCUGUCUUCUGUGAUCCCAGAUCCAUCGUUAAUAUUCUUCUAGAUGCUGCAACCUGGUCUCCGCUGGGCUGCAGGACCCAGAUGAGCCGAGGGGAAGGCCAAGCUCAGCCUUUGUAUUCGUUUCCUGCUGCUGUUGUCGUUAAUUACCACCUACCUAGUGACUUAAAAUAACAGUCUUUCCUACAGUCCUGGGGGUCAGAAGUCCACUGCGGUGGGUCUCAGGGGACUAAAAUCAAGGCUGGGGUUGCUUCUGGGGGCUCCAGGGAGAACCAGUGACCUUGCCUUUUCUUCCAUCUAGAGGCUUCUGCAUUCCUUGGCCCGUGGGUGCACUAUUCCAGCCUACACUCUUUUUGUGCAUCUUUUUCUCAGACUCUGACCUUCUUGUCUCCCUCUUAUAAGGACCCUUGGGAGCAUCCUGGGCCCACAUGGUGAAUCAGGGGAGUUUCCCCCCGGCGGUAUUUGUAACUCAGUCACAUCCUGCAAAGUCGCUUUUACCCUAUAAAGCAUCAGGUUCACAGAUUUCAGGGUUUGGGACCCGGACACCUUUAGAGGUCAUGACUAGCUUUCCAUAGCCUUCCAGCCCCUCCCAAGGGAGCAUCCACAUCUGUGCCCUGAGAGGAGCCCACCCAAGGGGCAGAGGUGGGUGAGGCGGCAGAGGGGAGCCCCAAGAUGCAGGAGGCCAGGGUGCGAAAAUGGGGCAGGGGCGGGUCCUCAACACUCUUCAUUUCAGAUUAACAAGUCAUUCUGAGUAUAUGCAAAACCCAAAUAUGACAUAGGACAUAUUUGUACUAAAAAUUAUUCCAUUGUUUAUCUGAUAGUCGCAUUGAACAGGGCAUCCUGUAUUUUCACUUGCUAAAUCUGGAAACCCUAGAGGAACUUACAGAAAUAGUUCUGAGGCGUCUGGAAGGAAGACACUUGAAGGGAGCUAGCAUCUUACAAUGAGGCCAUCACAGAGCUUCGCUGGUGUUACUACAUCACACGUUGUACUCACUGAUUUUAUAAAUGGCCGUCGUGGUUCCCUUAACAGUUUCUUCUUGCCAUGUGAAUAUUUCUCUAAUCUUAAUUUAACUGUCUUUUCUAAUGUUAGGUUUUCUGCAUUUUUUUAAACUUGACUAAUUUUACCCUAGUACUAAAUAUGUGUUCAAAAUGUGAUUCCAAUCAAUAUAUCAAUAACUGAACUUUUUGUUUCCAUAGAGCAAAGACAUCACUUGUUGCCUACAAUAAACAGAUGCGUGGCUCACACAGUCACACUCAUAACUGAGCCAUUUACUGUCAGGGUUCUUGGAUAUCAAGACGAUCAAGCUAAAGUUAACAACCAGUUAUGUUCUUUGUGCAUCAGAAAAUUCUCAGAAGUCUUAUGUAAAACACCAUAACUCUUCAAAUAGCAUCAUGACCUGAGUACUGAAAAGAGAUUGAAGUAAAUUACUGCAUCAUGGAAGCUUCCCUACACAGUGGGCAAUGAGAAGUGUGAACAAGCCCCAGGAUGAUUUGACAUCAUUUUUAAAGAGUAUGUAUUCUCACUUGAAUUACACAAUAAUCUGAACUAUCUAGACCAGCCCUGACCAACAGAAAUAAUGCCAACCAAAUGUUCUAGGAGCCACAUUAAAAAAAUAAAAAAGAAACAGGAGAAGUUAAUUUCAAUGAUGUAUUUCACUCAACACAUCCAAAGUACCAUUCGUACAACUUGUAAUAAAUGCAAACACUCUUCAAGAGAUGUUUUUAUGUUCUUUUCUUUUUUCCUAUUAAAGUUUUUGAAAUCUGGAGUGUACCUCAUAGUUAGAGCCCAUCUCAACUUGAAGUAGACACAUUUCCAAAACUCGAUAGCCACACACGCCUGGUGAGUUCCAUGACUGACUUGGGCAGUCCUACAGUGGACUACACAUGAACCAACGCAGUGUCUCUUCCAAACACAGAAGCCCAGACCAAUCAGAGACUGCCCCAUGCUGACGGGCACUGCUAGGGUACUUCUGAAUUUUCCCAGCAUCGAGGAGUACUUUAAACCCGAAAUACCAAUCUCAUUUGUUUCCAUUGUCAUUCCUUCAAACGUGAAAGACGGAGCGCUCAGGCACACAGAGAAGACUAAUUAGAAUCAAGUAAUUAGGAGAGAACCGUAUGUUAAUUGAUUCCUUUACACCUACAGGAAAAGAGAAGCAGGAAGUCUAACAGCCCAGCACCGAGGACGAGAGAAGUCACCCUUCUGAAGUAGAAUGAGCUUCCGGAGCUGCCUCAAGUAUAAAAUGCAUCUCCACCCUUGAAGGUGAGCAUUUGGCACUGAGCAUGCUGCAGGCUCUCAGGGAAGGAAAAACUGACGUUUCGACCCGACCCGUAUGGCUGUGAACCUGGGCUUGAGACAGCCACACACUGACAGUCGUGCCGUAGGACUCAGCGGAGCGGCUAGGACACGCACGGCAUCCUGAGCUCCACGGGAACACCUUUAUCACAUGAAAACAGGGGUGCCUGGCAUUCUUACCAUGUGGCUCUGUCAAUGGCAUCCACCCGCCCACGCGUGGCAGGGAGGAAGCCGGCACUCAGCUGAAGUGGGCACUGAGCUUUGUCUGUGUGCGUGAGUGCAUGUAAGAACUCACUGCCAUGUCACGCGACCUGAGUCUACGGUUUGCACAUUCCAUGUUUGAGGUUAAUAAAAUACACCUGGUGGUUGUUGUUUAGUCAC